GUUGGCUGAUGCAUAUUAUAAUUGCAGAGCAUAAUAUUGUACUCAUAAAUUUUUUAUUAAUAAAAUAGAUAUAUUUUAUUUCAAUCAUAUUUUAUAUGUGUCCAUGAUUCAUCUAAGGGAUUAAUAGAUGAUAUAUAUUCUUAAAGUGUUGAAAAUUUAGGAUAUAUAUUAUCGAUGGUUAAUUCUUAAAAACUGUCGAUCGUGGGAUCAUCACAA
rnacentral:lncRNA from 1 species